UUUCUGCUGUAAAUAUUUCUUCGACCGGGACUUUAUGUAUUUUAGGAAGAAGAUAAAAGCGGCCUGCUGUUUUGUUCCUGGGCAUCAUGAAGCGAUAUUCAGAUUGCGUGAUUAGUUCCCUGGACCGGAGCUCCGCUAUUGUGCUUAACACAAUAUUGCUGUAAUCUGAAGUCGGGUUAGAGUCGAGUUUUCUGUAAUGGGUGUGGUUGCUCAGUUGUUUAGAGGCCUCAUUCUUGUACUUUUCUAUAGGCCAGAUUACGAUACUGCCGAUACUGACGCAUCGAAGCGGCGCACAAGAUUCAACUGCUCACGCAAGCUUCACGUCACAGACCGCAUUUUUCGGUAUCAGUCUGCAGCAAGCGACCGCGUCACCGUCCACUUUCUCGCCGCUGGUGCCAGUCCGGACACGCUCGCUUUCCCACCUCUGUCCGUAGCAGCAUUCCGCAGCGCCCACUGACAGCCGUGCACCUGCCAGGAUGUCCGAGCCGACGGACCAACUUAACUCUGCGGAGCUUCCGUCGACCAGCUGCGGUCACUUGACAACGAUUCAAAUGUCACGAGGAAGUGAACCGUUGGUCUGGUACGACGAACAUGCCGCCACCUUCCGAGUCUCCACUUACACCCCCAGUGCCGGCACAAUCUUCCCGCCGAGCAGCUCGGUCAUGCAGACAGUGAUCUGGCCGAACUGGGCACCGCCAUCCACGCCGUGGAUUCCCUGGCCUCCUGUCUUUCCGUACUCGCACAUUAGGUGGUUGUCCACAUCGUGGCCCGCAGCUUCGCCAGCAGAAGCACCUCCAAUGGUUUGCAGGCCAUCUCAUCGAGGCCCUCUCCAUCCCAGUCUUCCACACCCGCCCAGGCUCUCUGAUGGGCCAUCGGCAAACACGGGUGGACGAAGCCAUCUCCCAAGGACCCCCCUGCCCUGUCCACUUUCUACUGCCUCCUCUUCAUUAUCAGAUGACGACGAUGCAUGUGAAGGCGCAGACCUCGACAGUGUGAAGCUUUUUAUUCCUUCCGAAGAGGGCGAUUAAAACAACUGUCAUUCGCUCCGGUCACUGA